rnacentral:snRNA from 1 species
GCCUGUAUGGGUGAUCUGCCAGUGCCAUUUGUUGCCUGAUUGGCUGAUUCAGUUGAUCUGGCUGGCUAGCGGGCAUCCUCUUCCUCCCUCUCCAUGCCUUGUGAAUCCCUCCUGGAAGCUCAAUGCUCAGCCGAAGAGGUCGACCAACCCUGACAGGUGAGGGGUAUGAAGUAGCCGCACUCUGCUGCUAGAGAACCUCCAAACAAGCUUUCAAAGUAGCAGCACUGUUUUUACCUCCCAUUUGUAAAGGUUCCAAUUUCACACUUUUGCCCACACUCAAUACUGUCUGACAUU